rnacentral:lncRNA from 1 species
CUGCAGCCCCAUUCACGUGGCGGUCACGGUGACCAGCGAGCGCAGAAUUCCGCUGGACCCGUGAUGGAUGGAGUUCAACGAGAUUCAAAGCCAGAACAAGGGAAGAUAAUGACCGCAGAGUGGAGAAACCUCGUAGACACCACUUUUCUCAGGGGAUCAAGAUUAACAUUGCAGGGUCAUUCAAGGGUCACAAGGAUUUAUGAGCUUGUUUCACCGAAGAAAAAGAAUGACUUCAAGGAAGUUAGGAUCACCAGAUAACCAGGCUCUAGCCGCCAGUGAACUCAUAAGUCAGAUUGCCCAAGGGCUUAUAUGGAGUGAAAGAAACAUGGAUUACCACCUUUGUUUCUCUGAAACUCCUCCUGCCAAGCCCCUUAGAUCUAUAAAAACCCCUGCUUUCUUCUCUUCUUAAGGCAGAUUUGAGGGAACCUAUCCUCCUGCCUUCUCAUUUUGGCCAAUUUGAAUAAAGCUUUCUCC